GCCUACGAAAGUAGAAAAUUUACAAGGACAACAAGAGCUUGACCCUUACCCCUCCUUGCAGUUUCGCCUCUCAAAUUUAAAUUUGACUCUCUCUCUCUCUCUCUCUCUCUCUCUCUCUGUGUGUGUGCGUGUCUGUGUGUGUUGCUGCCGGAGAACACAUCUUCCCCUUCGAAUGCUCGAUGGCCACAACAAAAUAGGUGAAGUGCGAUGCUUUCUACCUGCAGUUUCGGUGCAUGGCAAAGAGAAGAACGCAACAAAAGUUCUUGUUGCCGAUUCGAGAAAAGCAGGGGGCAUAACCGGACAUAUCCCCUUGCGUGAUGAGGGGCAGAGGGCCCCAGUGUUGAAGGACGGCAUCCAGAGGGAUGAUGAAGAGGGCUCUCAGAGUUCUGUUCAUCCAGUGGAUUCUUGGGUACUUUGCACUUUUGUUAUUUAGCUGUUGCUAAUGUGUGAAAAAGGGAAGAUACUGCUGCCUGCUAUUUUUGCUGUUUAUCAGCCAUUAUGAAUUCUAUGAGAAGCAUAUGUCUUUGUUCGUGAUGCCCAUGUGUGAGAUCUUCAGCAAAUGGUGAGAUCCACUUCUGUUUUCACAUCUGCAUCGUCAUUGGUUCUGUCAUCUUUGAGGCACCACCACUUUACUGCACGUUCACUCUUAGCUUCAUUAGGAUUGAAACUUGGCAGCAGAGAGAACAAUGGUGUCAUCCAGAAGAAACAUUUUCCUGCCCAUCCUUUCGUUACGCAGUCAGAAUCUGCUCAUUUUGUUUGUUUAAACGAAAUCCAUAAUCUCGAAUGUGGGGUUCUGAAAACAAUAGACAAUAAUUCUAGCCAUGAUGAGAUCGAGAAGGCAUUGGCCACCUUUGAUGAUAUGCGAUUUUGUCGUGUCCAUAAGCCAUCAGUGAUUUCGUGCACUCGUUUGCUGAAUGUUCUUGUGAGAAGGGGCAGGUAUGAAGAUGGGUUCUCGGUCUACUUCAAGAUGGUCAACUCUGGGAUAUCUCCUACUUUAGUUACUUUCAAUACCUUGCUCAAUUGCUUCUGUAAAGCUUGCCAGAUUGAAUCUGCAUUUGCAGUGCUCGGUGUUAUUCUGAAAACUGGGUUCUCACCCUGCUCUAUCACUUUUAACACGCUGAUUGAUGCUCUGAUGAAGUCAGGCAGGAUGGAUGAAGCUUUAUGGUUGCAGGCUUCCAUGUGUGCGGAGGGUUGUGAUCCUAAUGUGUCUACUUACAAUUGUCUCAUUGAUGGUGCUUGUAAAAUGGGUAGGCUUGCAGAUGCAAGAUCUCUGUUGCGAGAGAUGGCUGCCAGAAAUAUUGUUGCUGAUUUGAUUACCUACAACACAGUUAUUGAUGGUCUUUGUAAGGAAGGGCUUGUGGAGGAGGCAUAUGAACUCUACAACAAGAUUACCGUAAAAGGAGUUUGCCCCAAUGUUGUAACUUUCAACAGUUUGAUUCACGGUCUCUGCAUUGAUGGGCAGUGGCAACAUGCAAAAGCAUUGUUUCAUAAUAUGCUAAAUUCAGGAAUCAGACCAGAUCUAGUAACAUACAGUGCACUGGUUCAUGGUUUUAGUGAACAUGGAAUGAUGAACGAAGCCAUUCAAUUUGUCAAUUUGAUGCUUAAAAUGGGUGAGCCUCCUGAAAGACGUACAUUUGCACCAGUUAUAGGAAAUCUAGCAAAAACAGGUAGAAUCGAUGAGGCAAUGCAGUUCAUCAGCCAUCUUCUGAAGAGAGGUAUUCCAUUAGAUGUCAUGGCAUACGGCAUUCUUAUAGAUGGCUUAUUUAAGACCGAGAGAAUUGGUGAAGCCAUAGCAUUGUAUCAUUAUAUGCUAACUGAAGGUUACCAGCCUGAUGUGUUUACCUAUACUUGUCUUAUUGCUGGAUUUUGCAAAGCAGGCCAGCUUGAGCAGGCCAAUGCUUUGUUGCAUGAAAUGAGCAUGGUGGGGAUUAAACCUGAUUUAGUUACUUACAGCACAAUCCUUGAUACCCUUUGCAAGGAAGGUUUUCUUGAUAGAGCCAUGGAAGUGUAUGAGGAGAUGAAUGACAAAGGUAUUUUUCCAAACACAAUUAUAUUCAAUAUCUUGAUCAACAGAUUCUGCAUAGAAGAUAGAUGGCAAGAAGCAAAAGACAUGCUCAAUAACAUGUGGAACCUGGGAAUUAGACCUGACAUUGUUACAUUUACUAGCAUCAUUCAUGGGUGUUGUAAGAGAGGAAGAGUAAAUGAUGCUCUCGAUGUAAUGAGUUUUAUGUUUGAGGUGGGUGAAUUGCCUAAUGUGUCUACUUGCAACAUUGUCAUGGAUGGUCUUUCCAAAGAAGGGAGAAUGAAUGAAGCGAUGCAGUUAGUCACUUACCUUCUCAAGAGUGGAAACUGCCUAGAUUUUCUGACUUAUGGUAUCCUCAUAAGUGGUUUAUGCAAGUCUAAUAGGGUGGAUGAAGCAGCUUCCAUCUAUAACUACAUGCUCUGCAUUGGUUGUGAGCCUGAUGUGGUAAUAUAUACUUGCCUUAUUGAUGGGCUUUGUAAGACAGGCAAUAUUAAUGAUGCUAAGGUUUUGGUGAAUGAAAUGAUACUAAGGGAAACCAAGAUUGAUAUAGUUACAUGCAACGUAUUUAUUGAUGGUCUAUGUAAAGAAGGCCUUCUGGAUGAAGCUUGGAAGAUUUAUGAAGAGAUGCUGGGGAAAGGUAUUUGUCCUAAUGUCUUUACUUUUAACAUUUUCAUUCACAAUUUCUGCCGUCAUGGGCGACAUGAAGAUGCAAAGGCAUUAAUCAGUGAGAUGUUGGACCGAGGAAUAAAACCAAACACAGCCACUAUUAGUGGGUUGGCUAGUGGACUUCACAAAAGUGCGGCGAUCGAUCAUACCAUUAAUUAUCUCUGUGGCGUAGCUGGUAUGUAGAGUGCGUGUUUUAUUAUAAAAUGCACAUUUGUUAUAGAAAAUAGUGUAUGUAUAGUUGUUGCCUCAUUGUCUGGAAGAGUUCUUUAUGGGCAAUUCUCAUUGAAGUUUCUUCGAUCAAGGAAUUUGAGAUAUCUCCAGCAUGGAAAGAAAACAGAAAGAACCUGUGAAGGCUAACCAGUUGGGUUCAGCGACAUCGCAAUUAUUUCAUCCAACUCAUUUCAGGAGCCAUACUGCAGAAACGUGUCGAGAGGCACACCUACGUGCAUUUGAAUGUUAAAGUACGGUCAAUUAGAUUUAUCUGCUGGUAAGAUCUGCUGCGUGCGACCUAAUUAUGUAUUGCACAAAUUUCAAGAUCCAGCCAACCUUGGAGUUGACCUGGGGCACGUCGCAAAUCCAAGACAGGUUUGGCAACAAUGGCAGGUUGUGAAGGGCUAAUAGAGUUGGUGCAAAAUUAUUAGAUUGAAUUCAAAAAUAAGUUGGCUCAUACCUAUGCUGGAUGGAUGGCAUGAAUGGUUUUCAAGUCUCGUACCGAUGUCUUUUUGAGAAUGGUGCUCCUUAAUGUAGAAUAAGAAAAUCAUGGAUGGCUCUCUCUACCUAUCUUGCCACGAAGGAUUCUAUUAUUCCUAUACAGGUUAAUAUAUAUAUAUAUAUAUAUAUAUAUAAUGGUUUAAUUUCGGAGAAGUGAUUAAUUUGCCUUUGAUUGUAUGAAGGACAACUACAUUAGAGAUUCCAUAAGUUUUAAAAAUCA